AUUUAUAUAGUUUAAUAUUAAAACAUUACAUUUUCACUGUAAAAAUAAAGAUUUAAUCUUUUAUAGAUA
rnacentral:tRNA from 1 species